rnacentral:lncRNA from 1 species
UAGAGACUCUCCCAUAAACGUGAAGAGAAAUCGGUGGAAAGAAACGUAAACAGGGCCCUCAUGACAAACGAGAGUAGACGAAAGAAAACGUGAGCAGUGGAAAGGAGACGUGAACAAGGCCAUUGCUUUCUGAUGAAGCUGGAAAGAAACGUGAAGAGUGGAGCCUAUAAAUAUGAUCCCUCGCUUGCUUUCUCUCUCACACCUCCCUGAAUUCCAUCACUACUUCUUCUAGAGAAUUGACAGAAGACUGAUAAUAUAAGCUUUGUUUUAUUGAGAGAAUGGCUCAAGUUUGAGGAAGAUGAAGAUGCAAUGAAUGGAGGGUGUCAGGAUUCUAAAUCAAUCGAAUCAAUGAUUUACCAGAGGUCCAGAGAUUUGAUCCAAGAGAGCAUAGUUGGACCCAAGUUUACUGGAUGCUUUGAAUGAAAAUCUGGUGAAUUUGGGGUCACUUGCUCAAGUUCUCGGGAAGAAGGAAAGGGGCUGAAGACAGCAGAUGAUUCUAUAGGGUGGGAUUUUGAUCAUCCUCAUCUUAUAAAUUCAUCCUACGCUU